UCGACCUGAGGUCAGGCAAGAACACCCGCUGAACUUAAACAUAUCAAUAAGCGGAGGAAAAGAAACUAAC
rnacentral:rRNA from 1 species